rnacentral:rRNA from 1 species
UACGUAGGGGGCGAGCGUUGUCCGGAAUGACUGGGCGUAAAGGGUACGUAGGCGGCUAGGCAAGUCAGAUGUGAAAGGCACAGGCUUAACCUGUGUAAGCAUUUGAAACUGUCUAGCCUGAGUUAAGGAGAGGAAAGUGGAAUUCCUGGUGUAGCGGUGAAAUGCGUAGAUAUCAGGAGGAAUACCAGUGGCGAAGGCGACUUUCUGGACUUAAACUGACGCUGAGGUACGAAAGCGUGGGGAGCAAACAGG